ensembl:snRNA U6 U6 spliceosomal RNA
CUGCUCGCCUCGGCAGCACAUACACUGAAACUAGAACGAUACAGAGAAAACUAGCACGGCCCUUGGACAAGGAUGACACACAAAUUCGUGAAGCCUUCCGUAUUUUU